GAUGAAGAACGUAGCGAAAUGCGAUAAGUAAUGCGAAUUGCAGAAUUUCCGUGAGUCAUCGAAUCUUUGAACGCACAUUGCGCCCUCUGGCAUUCCGGAGGGCACACCUGUCCGAGCGCCGUCGCAACACUGAGGCUCAGCCUUGCGUUGGCGGCCAGCUUCUGGAGACGGAAGCUGCCGCUCAAACUCGACGGCGCCGCGACCGGCGGAGACGAACGCACGAAAGCGAGAGUCCCCCGGGUCACGGCCGCCUUGUAGACCAAAUCAAGCUUGGCCUCGGAUCAGGUGGGGAUACCCGCUGAACUUAAGCAUAUCAAUAAGCGGAGGA
rnacentral:misc_RNA from 1 species